UACGUAGGGGGCAAGCGUUGUUCGGAAUUACUGGGCGUAAAGGGCGCGUAGGCGGCCUGCUAAGUCGAACGUGAAAUCCCCGGGCUCAACCCGGGAACUGCGUCCGAGACUGGCGGGCUCGAAUUCGGGAGAGGGAUGCGGAAUUCCAGGUGUAGCGGUGAAAUGCGUAGAUAUCUGGAGGAACACCGGUGGCGAAGGCGGCAUCCUGGACCGAUAUUGACGCUGAUGCGCGAAAGCCAGGGGAGCAAACGGG
rnacentral:rRNA from 1 species